AGAUUGAACGCUGGCGGCAUGCUUUACACAUGCAAGUCGAACGGUAACGCGGGGGCAACCCUGGCGACGAGUGGCGAAUGGGUGAGUAAUACAUCGGAACGUGCCCAGUAGUGGGGGGAUAGCUCGGCGAAAGCCGGAUUAAUACCGCAUACGACCUACGGGUGAAAGCGGGGGAUCGCAAGACCUCGCGCUAUUGGAGCGGCCGAUGGCAGAUUAGCUUGUUGGUGGGGUAAAAGCCUACCAAGGCGACGAUCUGUAGCUGGUCUGAGAGGACGACCAGCCACACUGGGACUGAGACACGGCCCAGACUCCUACGGGAGGCAGCAGUGGGGAAUUUGGACAAUGGGCGCAAGCCUGAUCCAGCAAUCGCCGCGUGUGUGAUGGAAGGCCUUACGGUUGUAAAGCUACUUUUAGGUAGGAACGGAACCGGUCCGGACC
rnacentral:rRNA from 1 species